rnacentral:rRNA from 1 species
GCGAGCGAACGGGGAGGAGCCCAGAGCCUGAAUCAGUGUGUGUGUUAGUGGAAGCGUCUGGAAAGGCGCGCGAUACAGGGUGACAGCCCCGUACACAAAAAUGCACACAUUGUGAGCUCGAUGAGUAGGGCGGGACACGUGGUAUCCUGUCUGAAUAUGGGGGGACCAUCCUCCAAGGCUAAAUACUCCUGACUGACCGAUAGUGAACCAGUACCGUGAGGGAAAGGCGAAAAGAACCCCGGCGAGGGGAGUGAAAAAGAACCUGAAACCGUGUACGUACAAGCAGUGGGAGCCUCUUAAUGGGGUGACUGCGUACCUUUUGUAUAAUGGGUCAGCGACUUAUAUUCUGUAGCAAGGUUAACCGAAUAGGGGAGCCGAAGGGAAACCGAGUCUUAACUGGGCGUUAAGUUGCAGGGUAUAGACCCGAAACCCGGUGAUCUAGCCAUGGGCAGGUUGAAGGUUGGGUAACACUAACUGGAGGACCGAACCGACUAAUGUUGAAAAAUUAGCGGAUGACUUGUGGCUGGGGGUGAAAGGCCAAUCAAACCGGGAGAUAGCUGGUUCUCCCCGAAAGCUAUUUAGGUAGCGCCUCGUGAAUUCAUCUCCGGGGGUAGAGCACUGUUUCGGCAAGGGGGUCAUCCCGACUUACCAACCCGAUGCAAACUGCGAAUACCGGAGAAUGUUAUCACGGGAGACACACGGCGGGUGCUAACGUCCGUCGUGAAGAGGGAAACAACCCAGACCGCCAGCUAAGGUCCCAAAGUCAUGGUUAAGUGGGAAACGAUGUGGGAAGGCCCAGACAGCCAGGAUGUUGGCUUAGAAGCAGCCAUCAUUUAAAGAAAGCGUAAUAGCUCACUGGUCGAGUCGGCCUGCGCGGAAGAUGUAACGGGGCUAAACCAUGCACCGAAGCUGCGGCAGCGACACUAUGUGUUGUUGGGUAGGGGAGCGUUCUGUAAGCC